GUGAUUCAGGUUCGGCCAUGCAAAUAGCGUGGGUUAUAGUAUACAAAAUCUGAGAAUUGAGUGGAAUUCUAGUUUUAUGGCCCAAAAACACUAAAAACUGAGGAACGGUCAUGACGAUGCGAUAAUUAUUUUAUGGGCCGGUAAAAUUUUAGGCGAUAAUUAUCAUGGUGCAAUGAGCUAUCUGUUACAAGAUGAGGAAGGACAAAUUAUUGGACCUUACUCAAUAGGUGUGGGGUAAGUUUUCACUUUAAUUUUAAGCGUAGGGAUAAUUUUAAUCAAGAGAGCUCAAUUAUAUAGAAUGUCAUUUUCAGCUCAAGUAAGGAAUAAAAGAACAUUUUUUUUUUGAGCCAUCUGGUAUAUGUAAUCAACUGACUCGGCUACUUUAGAUCCGUGUUGUAUAGGGCAGUGGCGAAGCCAUUCUUUGCCAUAGGGUGUCAAUUGAUACCCCUUUGCUAGAAAUUUACAUUGCAUAGAUAGGUAAAAAAAUAUGUUUAUAUAUAUAUAAUAUAUGUUGACUCCCUUUGCCUUUUUGCAUGUUUACUUUUUAUGUUUUGACUAAGCCGCUGGCAUAGGAAAAGCACUCCCUAUAAGGAAUUUUUCUAUUUAGAGGGAACUCAAUACCUCUAGUUAAGGGUGGAGGAAUCUCUUCCAAUCCACCACAUCCUGUAGUGACAUGGAGCAUAUAUGUGGAUUGAUAAACCAAGUUCAAUUGAUAAAAAUAUUUUUUUAUUAAUAAGAUCACCUAUAAAGUAAUUAUAUGUAAAUAUCCUUAAUGCGUUAAUGGGUAACCUGAUAAAAUUGACAACUUAUUUGCUAUCACGGCUUAAACUAUAUCAUUGAUAGUAUAUUAAAAAAAAUCUUUAACGUUAGCUAUACAUAAUUUAAGUUUUAUCCUUGCUAUAAAUGAGUAUUCAAUGUAACCUUCCAAAUUUAAUGCAAUUAAUAUUGUUGAAUAUGCAGAUUAGAGUACCCAGGUGUUAGCCCAGAGCUUAGCUUUCUAAAAGAUAUCGGGCACGCAGAGUUUUAUACUGUCACAGAUGAACAAGCCUUAGAAGCAUAUAAACGGUUGUGCAGGCUAGAAGGGAUAUUCCUAGCCUUGGAAGCUUCUCACGCACUUGCAUUUCUUGACAAACUUUGCCCUACUCUAGAGGAUGGUGAGAAAGUGGUUGUUAAUUUAAGCGGCCGCGGAGAUAAGGAUGUUACCAUAGUCUUCAAUCAUACUACAAAGGAUGAAUGAAUAAAUGAAUGAACCAACAACGAAUUACUACAUUAAUGAAUUGAUGUGUAUAUUGUAAUUUGUAAAAAGAGAAAGAGAUAUACAUAACUGUCAACUUAGCAAGUAGGAUCACAAAUCAAAUUAAGAGAUAUUCUAGUACCUAAGUAAGUCAGUGACAAUAUUUUCAAAGGUGUUUCACAACAUUGCUAUAUCCAUAAAAAGAUAGUAGUAGUUAAUUUUAA